GGAGCAGGGCGCAGGCCCGGGAUAGGAGGCAGAGCGCAAGGGGCGGGGGUGGCGUGGAGGGGGUGCCUGCCGGCGGUCAACCCCGCUGUAGCGGGGUUGUCAUGUCUCGCCAGACGAAGGAUGACUUUCUACGGCAUUAUACGGUCUCCGACCCCAGGACCCAUGCCAAGGGCUACACCGAGUACAAAGUAACCGCGCAGGUGAGGUGGGGCCCAGCGGGGACCUUACCCUUUUAAGUAGCCAGGGGGUUGUGCUUUACCUUAAGGGAAGGCGCUGUAGGAAGCUCCUUUUUUAGACGACAGAAAUGGGUUUCCCCUUUAAGGAAAGCCUGUGGUGGGCGCUGACGUUGACUUCUUUCACCAUCGGGGGCGGGGCCGUGGAAGGGCGUGGUCCUCUUUAAAAGGGCGUGGACACAGUUCCCGGACUUGUGAGGUGCGUGUGCCCACGCCCGACGCUUGCAGCCUGUGCCUCCGUCUGUGAGAUUCUCAGACGUGAAAACUCUGGCUUAACCCAAACGUUAGUUAGUUUCCCAAUUUGGGGGUAAGUUUCAUUUAUUGGUUUGUUGGAUACCUAAAAACCCUUUAAAGAGUUUAUUUCUUAAAAAAAUUAAUACAGGUCUAUGGUUUAAAAAAUUCACAAUUCAAAAGGACUUGAAUCUUCACGGUCAUCGCAGGAAGAGGAUAGGUAAAGGCCAUAGUGGAUGUUGGAAGCAAUAUUAUAAGCACAUUUUAUAGAGACAUGGAGAAAACCAUGAAAAGAAUUUAAGAUAAAACGGCAUAAGAGACUGCCUGUAGAAUGAUUUGUAAGAACCGGUAAUAAUGGAGACCUCCAGGGAAAGUCUCUGGGGAAGGGGGUUGAGGAAGGACUUUUUUAGUGGGUUUUUUUGUUUGUUUUGUUUUGUUUUUUGCUAGGGAUUGAACCCAGGGGCAACACUCUAACACUGAGCUACAUCUCCAGCCCUUUUUAUUUUGAGAAAGGGCCUCACUAAAUUGCUGAGGCUGGCCUUGAACUUGUGAUCCACCUGCCUCAGCCUCCUGAGUCAGACGUGUGUCACAGCAUCCAGUUUAGCGUUCGUAUUUUAUACUCUUAGAAUUUUGGCAACAGGCAACUACUAAAUGCAGAAUCCUAGAUGUUUUUAAAAUAUGCUUUCCCCAAAUCUUUUAUGUCAUUCCCAUGCCAAAAAACUACAAAUAAAGAGAUUGCCCCUGGUAGAUGGGCAGGAGGGGUAGGGGGGUAGAAAGGAUGUGGCCUUCUUCUGCAACCUUUGCCUACAUGCCUCCUACUGACUUUUUAAACCAAGUAACAUUUAUUAUUUGAGAUAGUUGGGAUGGGUCUAUAGUUUUUUGUGGAUUGGGGUGUUUUUGUUUUGUGCUUUCCAGUAAUGCAGAUUGACCCCAGGACAUUGUGUGUGCUAGACAAGCCCUCUGUCAUCAAGCUACAUCUCCAACCCUACUUUGAUAUAUUUUUAUAAAUAUAUCAAAAAAAUCUUUUAUAAAGAUAAAUUUUGCCUACUUGCUAUCCCCAUGUCUCUGUUGCUACCAGUUUGUUGAUCCUUGAAAAUAACUACAUUUACAAGCAAAUUAACGUGUCUACUUUAGUAGUAUUAUUUACACACAAUGGAGUUGCGCUUCUGACUCUUUUUGCUUACUGGUGUUUCUAAGUGAGUUUUUGUGUUUUAUUUUACUUUAAAAUUUUUUAAGAUUGCAAAUAAAAGCAUUCUGACUCAUUUUUAUUAUCAAAAAAAAUAUUAAAUUGAGACACAGUUUACAUAAAUGAGCUCAGUCUUCAAUGUACAGCCUAAUCAAAUUUCACUAAAAGUAUAAUGUGUGCAAACACCACUCAGAUGGAGAGAGACAUUUUCAUGACUCCAGAAAAUUUCUUUUCAUCUCUCCAAUCACUGGUCACCCUCUCGAAGAGAUCACUAUACUCAUCUGAUUUCUGUCACCAUUGAUGAAUUUGGUUUGUUCUUGAAUCUCAUAUGAAUGAAGCAAUGAAACAAAUAUUCUUUUGUGUUUGACUUUUUUAACUCAACAUAAUAUUUUUGGAAUUCGUCCAGGGCUUUGCACAUGCUGAUCAAGUGUUCUACCAAGUUAAAUCCCUGCCUUUUUUAUUUUUUUGGUACCAGGGGAUGAACCCGGGGCGCUUGAGCACUGAACCACAUCCUCAGUCCUUUUUAUUGUUUAUUUUGAGACAUAGCUGGCCUUGAGCUUAUGAUUCUUCUCCCUCAGCCUCCUCAGUCACGGGAAUUAUAAGCAUGCACCACGACACACGGCCCCAGCCCUUUUUAUAUUUUGAGACAGUGUCUCCCUAAAUUGCUGAGGCUAGCCUCAAACUUUCAAUCCUCCUGCCUCAGCCUCUUGAGUCAAAAGGAUUACAGGUGUGCAUCACUACACCUGGCUCACCAUUUCUUUAUUACUUAUGUUGAAUAUUUUGUUUUUUUCUUAAACGUUUUUUUAGUUGUUAAAUUGUAUGAACUCUCAUGUACAAAAUUUUUUUCUGGACAUAUCUGCUCAUUUCUCUUUGGGAUACACAUAGGAAUGGUACUGCUGGCGUGUAAGAUAGGUAUACGUCUAGCUUUACUAGAAAUUGCCAGAAAGUUUUCCAAAGUAGUUGCCCAUGUCAUGCAUCCCUUAUCACCUGCACUGGAAAUCAACAGGAUCUUUAAUUUUAGUUAUUCUUGGUAUGUAUUUGGAGUAUUAAUUUGCAUUUCUCUAAUGAGUUGAUAUUGAGCACAUUCUCAUAAUAAUCUUACAGGUCUUUUUUGUGGGAGGUGCCUGUUCAAGUAUUUUGCUCACUUUUUUCAAGCUAAUUUUGCCAUAUUUAUUCAUACCAAAUCACACUGUGUUGACAGGUAAUGAUUGAAUACAGAUACAGGCUGUCAGGAAAAGGGGAGGAGAAAGGGAGCCCUUAAAAUAGGGGGUGGGGUUGCGGCUCAGUGGUGGGGCGCUUGGCUGUGUGUGCAAGCUGUGAGCAUUUUGAGCGCUUGAGCUGACUGGACUGUGUGUACGUGUGUGUCCUUUUCACUAGCUCUGCCUUUUGAUCCCACUCAGCACCUGAGAUGGGCGUGGACUUCCAAGAUGUAAGUUAAUCUGCUGACCAUAAGACAUCUGGAAGCUAGACUCCACCCCCUGAAACCUAACCCCCCACACCAUUGGGGUGGAAAAAGGGGCUUUAGAAGUCCUCCUUCUCUUUCUCUCUCUCUCUUUUUUUUUUUUUGUGUGUGUGUGUGUGGUGCUGGGGAUUGAACCCAUGGCCUUGUACAUGCGAGGCAAGUACUCUACCAACUGAGCUAUAUCCCCAGCCCCCUCUCUUUCUUUAUUUCUGCCUCCCUAGUGGGAGCUGGAGCUGGGGAGCCAUCGCUGAAGAAUCACGAGAAAGAGGUAUUUUCCCUCUAGGUGUGGUUACUUCGUGCCAGCCCACAUUCACCUGGAGUGAACCUGAACGACUGACUUAGUUGUGUGUUGUGGCAACUGGGUUUCAUUCUCAGCCCUGCAUAUAAAUAAAUAAAAUAAAGGUUCAUCAACAGCUAAAAAAAAUUUUUUUUAAUAGGAUAAAAUGGCUGGGUAUGGUGGCACAUGUCUGUAAUUUCAGCAGCUCCGGAGGCUGAGGCAGGAGGAUCACAAAUUCUAAGCCAGCCUCAGCAACUUGGCCAGGGACUGAGCAACUUAUCAAAACCCUCUCUCUAAAUAAAAUGUAUAAAAUAAAAAGGAUGGGAUAUGACUCAGUGGUUAAGUGUUCAAUCCCUGAUACCCCCCCCCCCACAAAAAAAGGAUUAGGGCUCAGUGGUAGAACACUUGCCUAGCACAUGUGAGGCACUGGGUUCGAUUCUCAGCACCACAUAUAAGCAAAUAAGUGAAAUAAAGGUCCAUCAACAACUAAAAAAAAUUAAAAAACAACAACAACAACAAAAAAAAGAUUAAACACCAGGCCUUCUGAAAAGCAAUAAGGAGCCUCUUUCCAGAGGCUGCUCUCAGGUGACACUCAUGGAACUGCUGCAUCUUUAAAUUAAAGUCCUACAUUAAAUACGAAUUAUGUCAAAGUCACAUUUCUGAGUACCAUCCUUUGAGAAUGACUCCCACCAGGGAGGCAGAAAUAAAGAGAGGGAGGACAUUCUAAAGUCCCUUUUUCCUCCCCAAGUUCGUGGUCUUAAAGCAGCUUUCACAUGUUGUUAGUUAUCUUCUGAACUGUGAGACAGGUACUCUUUUCUCAACUAUUGAUGUGGAAACUGAGGCUUACAGAUAUUAAGUGACUUGGCCAUAUUUUGCUCAUUUUUUAAAAAUUGAGUUGUCUUAACAUUGAUUUUGUAGAGGGCCUUUAUAUUUUCUGGAUUUGAGUCCUUUAUCAGGUAUAUAUUCCUAUUUUUUUGGGGGGGGGGUACUAAGGAUUGAACCCAGGGGGUAUCCCUCAAGGGUUUUUAAAUAUGGGCUUUGGGUUUGGUUUGGUUUUGCCAUGUUUUAGGCAGGUCAGUUGUCAGAAGCCAAGGCCCGGUUUUCGUCUCAGCGCUCCCUUGCAGGCCAUCCCCCUCUCUGAGCCUCCAUGAUUUCAUCUUUUAAAUAGCAUGUCAAUGUGCCCCACUGCGAUCUAGGAGAAGGAAUAAGAAGCGUUUUAAAAACCGUCAGGUGCUGGGCUGGGGCUGGGCUCAGAGGAGGAGCACUCACCUAGCAUGCAUGAGGCACUCGGUUCGAUCCUCAGCACCCCAUAAAAAUAAAAGGUAUCAAGGGAAAAAAAACCUGUCAAGUGCUGCAAACUGUGGGACAUUAUUUUUAAAUGAUUAUGAACAUAACUUAAAACUGAAUCUUCUUGUCAGCUCAGACCCAACUCUGCACUUCGAGGGUCACCAGCCUCAGAGGUGGCUUCUUCUGUGACUGGGGGUGUUGGAACGCAGAGGAUGGGACUGGCUCCUGGCACACACAUCUCCCUCCCUCCCUCCCUCCCUCCCUCCCUCCCUUCCUCCCUUCCUUCCUUCCUUCCUUCCUUCCUUCCUUCCUUUCGGUCUCCUUUUUCAAUGCUGGGGAUUGAACCUAGGGCCAGGUGCAAGCUAGGCGGGCGCUAUUACCACUGAUCUACAUCCCCAGCCCUUUUAAGAUUUUUUUUCUUUUAGAGACAGGGUCUCCCUAAGUUGCCCAGGCUGGCUUUGAACUUGGGAUCCUCCUGCUUCAGCUGCCCCAGUGGCUGGGAUUAUAGGACGUGCCACCACAUUCAGCACAGCCUCAUUUCUUCAGAGGUUCGGGGUUCUUUGGUUUCGGGAGAUACAGAGACUUGGCCUCUGAAGGCACAGGUUGAGAGCUGAACAGAGGAUGGUGCAGUCUGGAGAGGCUUUAGGGAUCCUCCCAUUUGAAGGAUGAAGGAACUAAGGCAUGCAGAAGAAAAAUUGCUCAAAAUUACACUAAAGCCUUAACUUCAGGAUGCCUUAGUGGCUGAAGGACAUCUCCCUUUGAGGAGGACUGAGAGGUCCCUGGUGCCUCCUCAGCUGCUACAGUUUGGUGGGGUGUCAGAUGUCUGUCUCUCAUCUCAUGUGGUUCUUGCCUUUACUUUCUCAGUUCAUCUCAAAAAAGGACCCAGAGGAUGUCAAAGAGGUGAGAAUCGGGGGUGGCAGGGGGACCGUUCCCCAAUUCCCCAGUUCCAGAUCUGGAAGCAGUAGGGUUAUAGAUAACUGUGAGGAGCUGGGCCCUUCCUCCCUGGCCCCUAGUGGUUGGGAUGCUGUCUUCUCCUCACAGGCCCUGGGGCAGACUGGGUGGGGGGAAGGCUACUGCCCACCUUGCUGGCCAGGUUAAGUCUCAUGCCCCUCCUAGGUGGUGGUCUGGAAGCGGUACAGUGACUUCCGCAAGCUGCAUGGGGACCUGGCCUACACCCACCGCAACCUCUUCCGCCGCCUGGAGGAGUUCCCAUCCUUCCCCCGUGCCCAGGUGUUUGGUGAGUGUCAGAUCUGAGCUCUCGGCCCAGGACAGGAGAGUUGGGCAAAGGGGGCCAUUGGCCCUUGGCUGGGCGAUGGCUAGAGAGAUGGGGCCCAGAACUAUAGGCAAAGACAUUUGGAGAGCUGGGUGGAUCCUCUGAAGGGAAAUGGAGGCUCAGAGAAGCCUAGCCCUUGUUGUGAGUUGGGCCCUUUAACAUUCCUACCCCCCUCUCUCUCUCUCUCUCUCUCUCUCUCUCUCUCUCUCUCUCGCUCUCUCUCUCUCUUUUUUUUUGUACUGGGGAUUAAACCCCAGAGAGCCUUACCACUGAGCUACAUCCCCAGCCCUUUGUAUUUUUUAUUUUGAGACAGAAUCUUUCUUAGUUGCCAAGGCUAUCGUCAAAUUUGCAAUUCUCCUGCCUCAGCCUCCCAUAUCACUAGGAUUGCAAGUGUGUGCCACCAUGCCAGAACAUUCCCAUCUUUAUUACCCCUACUUUCAUGAUGAGGAAUCUGAGGUUCAGUGAGGUAAAGGGUCUUGGUCUGUGUCUUAGUUUGUUUCCUGUUGCUAAUAGACACAAUACAACAGACUAGGCAAAUAAUUAACAGAAGAGGUUUAUAUGUCAGGUGUGGUGGGCAGUGCCUGUAAUUCCAGUGACUAAUAGGCUGAGGCAGGAGGAUCACAAGUUCAAGGCCAGUCUGGGCAACUUAGGGAGACCUUAAGCAACUUAGCAAGAGCCUGUCCCAAAAUAAAAAUAUUUUAUUUUAUUUUAUUUAUAUUUUUUAAAGAGAGAGAGAAUUUUUUUUUUAAUAUUUAUUUUUCAGUUUUUGGCGGACACAACAUCUUUGUUUGUAUGUGGUGCUGAGGAUCGAACCCGGGCCGCACGCAUGCCAGGCGAGCGCGCUACCGCUUGAGCCACAUCUCCAGCCAAAAUAAAAAUAUUUUAAAAGGGCUGGGAUGCAGCUUGGUAGUAAAGCACCCCCAGGUUCAAUUGCCAGUACCACAAAGGGAGGAAAAAAGUUUACUUUGGCUCAUAGUUAUGGCAGAAGAUUUAGAGGCCACAUCUGGUGAUGGCCUUCUUGCUGGCAGAGUCCCCAGGAAGCAUGGGGCCUCACAUGGCAAGAGACAGGGACCUUGGCAGACACCUAGCCAAACUUUUUUUUUUUUUUUUUAAGCGCUGGGGAUUAAACCCAGGGCUUUGUGUAUGCAAGGCAGGCAAUCUGCCAAUCAAGCUAUAUCCCCAUCCCACAAACUCACUCUUGAGAUAACCCAUUUACCCAUUAACCCACGGAUCACAUGAGUCCCCAGACUCACAUGAGAUAUUCUUUGUAUGUGUGUGUGUGUGUGGUGCUGGGGAUGGAACCCAGGGCCUUGUGCAUGCAAGGCAAGCACUCUACUAACAGACCUAUGUCCCCAGCCCACAAGGUGAAGGAUGCUGUUACUUGCUACCACAGGAAUACAUCAGGCUGCUCCCUCUAGCAACAUAAUAACUUUAGAUAAAUUUUAAUAAUAUCUAUACCAGCAGUGAGACUGCUGCUUGCUGUGUGACCUUGGGCAUAGCACAUCUCUGAGCCUUACUUUCCUCUUUAUUAUAUCACAUCCAUCUGAAAUGACUUUGUUUCUUGUUGAUUACCUUCCUUCCCCAUUACAGUGUCACAUCCUUGAGAGCGGAGACUUUGUUUCUCUCAUCCGUCUUGAACCCAGCAUAGAGCAGGUGUUUAGUUAAACAUCUGGGGUGCAGUGGUGCACACCUGUGAUGCCAGCUACUUGGGAGCCUGAGGCAGGAGGGAUUGCAAGUUUGAAGACUUUUGUUGUUGAUGAUACUGGGAUUGAACUCAGGGACUUGUGCAUGGUAGGCAAGCACUCUACCACUGAACCACAUCCCCAGCCCAGAAUCAAAAGUUUGUGGGCAACUCAGCAAGACCAUCUCUCAAAGUAAAAUUUUUUUACAAAGGGCUGGGAUGUAGCUCAGUGGUAGAGCACCUGCCCAGAAUGCACAAGUCCCUGGGAUAGAUCACCAGCAUUGACAGGAAAAAAAAAAAGAAUGAAUAGGGCCAGGUGUGGUGGUGCACACCUAUAAUCCCAGCAUCUUGGGAGGCUGAGGCAGGAGGAUCCAGUGUUCAAAGCCAGCCUCAGUAAUUUAGCAAGGCCCUAAACAACUCAGUGAGAUCCUGUCUCUAAUGAAAUAUAAAAAGAGCAGGUAUGUGGCUUGGUGGUUAAGCACCCCUGGGUCCAGUCCCCUGUACCAAAAAAAAAAAAAUAAGAAGAAAUAAAGAAUGAGUAGGGAGAUUGAGCCCUGCAGGAGGCAUCUGGAGAGAUUGCUGGGAGGUUGGGAGGAGGCCAGUAGGCUGCUCAGAGCCUCAGGCAGAGCCAGGAACAGUGGGCCUUGGUGUUAGAAGCCUCUGAGGUCACUGCUCUCCCGCUCCCUUGUCCUGGGACCUCAGGCCGGUUUGAAGCCUCUGUGAUCGAGGAGCGGAGAAAGGGGGCCGAAGAGCUGCUUCGCUUCACCGUGCACAUCCCUGCACUCAACAACAGCCCCCAGCUCAAGGAGUUCUUCCGGGUAUGUGCACCUGCCCUUCCUACCACCCCAGCACCUGGAAAGCUUACCUGCCCACCAAGCUACACUCCCUCUGUUGGUCUUUCUGCAGGGUGGGGAGGUGACACGGCCCUGCGAAGUGUCCAGAGACCUGCACAUUCUACCACCCCCUCUGAUCCCCACACCACCCCCUGAUGAGCCUCGGUUGCCCCAGCCACUUCCUGCAGAAAGGAGGGGCCUAGAGGAGUUGGAGGUGUCAGGUACAUGAGAAUGGGGGGAGGAAGCCAGAAUUGGGGGACAGGAAGGCAGGGCUCCACACUCCUAUCCCUACCUGUGAUCAUAGUGACAACCCUGUCGUGUCCCGUGCACCUGCUGAGGUCUUUGGAUAGGUCAUUUCCUGUCUUUAGUUUCAGUUUCUUAAUCUGUAAAAUGGGCACAGACCCUGAUGAUGGGCUUGUCUAGGCCUAUUGCUGCAAGGACUUACUGAGAGGAUCAUCCCAUUUUGAACUCUGGCGAGUGGUUUAUGUGCAGGUGUUAAUAUCCCAAUGGUCUGUCCUCAGCGGACCCCCCGCCGUCCAGCCCUGCCCAGGAGGCUCUGGAUCUUCUCUUCAACUGUGGCAGCACAGAGGAGGCAUCCGGCUCCCCUGCCCAGGGCCCUCUCUCUGAGGCUGAGCUUGCUCUCUUUGACCCCUUCUCCAAGGAAGGUAAGGAGCAGGGGCAGGCAGGGCAGGGGUUGCAGUAGCAGGUCCUUGGGGGCAAAAGAGGAGGCAGGACCACCAGCCAGCUGUUUGCAACUGUGUAAAUCUGAGCAAGUUGUCCCUGUACAGUGAGCAACCAUUGGGGAAGGAGAUGAGCCAUUUCUCCCUAUGAAAGCUUGGAAGAGCAGGGUCACAUUGCUCUGGAAGGUUUUAGCCUGUCCUGCAAGUCCAAGGUGGGGCUUCCUGGCUGGCUCAGGGUCCCCUGCAGAUCCUGGAGGUAGGAGAAGCCUGUCAGUGGGCUCAAAGAGCAGCAGCCAAGGGAAGCCACUGUGCCUUGGAGGCCACCAGAAGCAGAUGAGCUCCCCACAUGGGGCAGGGUCCUGAGCACUUUCCUGCUCUGAGACCAGGAACAUGAUAGUUCCCAACAGUGAGACACUGGGUUUUUCAUUCAGAAAUUCUCCAAGCUUCUGCUGUAACUGCAACCCAGGUGUUAAAGUGGUCAAUCUCACUUUGGGAUGAUCGUGAAACAGUUUCUCUUUUUAUUCCUUAGGAGUGUUUUUUUUUUUUUAAAUAUUUAUUUAUUUAUUUUAGUUUUUGGCGGACACAACAUCUUUGUUUGUAUGUGGUGCUGAGGAUCGAACCCGGGCCGCAGGCACACCAGGCGAGCGCGCUACCGCUUGAGCCACAUCCCUAGCCCCCCUUAGGAGUGUUUUUAAGCUGGUUUUGUUGGCCCUCCUUGUUUGCCCUUUGGUGGCCUUGAGGGCUGACCCCCCACCUUCUGAUGAGUUUCAGGCAUCUGAGGCCCAGCCUAGGAGAGGAAACAGCCUAGGCCAGCCUGUGUCAGCUCCCAUCUAGCUGUCAGCCUCACCUUCCCCCUGGCUCAGGCCAGUGGCCAGUGGCCAGUGGCCAGGCCAGCAAGUGACAAGGGUGUGAGGAGCUUGCUUUUGCUUGUUCUUCUUCCACACCUCCAAGGUUGGGGAAGGGGGAGAAUGGAUUGGGGGACAGAAGUGGUGGUAUCACCGGGGAUGUUGUACCAUCCUCUGAGUGGCAGGCACCCAGAUUCCCUGGCCCAGCUGAGCUCUCUAGGGUUCCUGGUGGAGGAUAGGACAGCCACUGGCAGUUGCUGUUUUUUUUUUUUCUUUUGGUACCAGGGAUUGAACCCAGGCGCUUUAAUACUGAGCCACAUCCCCAGCCCUUUUUAUAUUUUAUUUAGAGACAGGGUCUCACCAAGUUGUUUAAGGCCUAAGUUGUUGAGGCUGGCCUUAAACUUGUGAUCCUCCUGCCUCAGCCUCCUGAGAUGCUAGGAUUACAGGUGUGCGCCACCACACCCGGCUUGGCAGUUGCUUUGAAAGGCCCUUUACAGGUUGCACCCCUGAAACAUUUACUGUGUCCAUAGGAAAAUUCCCCAAUCCUUGUGUCCCUGUUGCUGAAGUGCAGUGUGCUCAGGCACUUCCUUCCCUCCUGCUCCCCAACAGUCGUGUAUGCCAGGAGCCAGCACCCCAUCUCUCUCUUUUUUUUGUUUAUUUAUUUAUUUAUUUAUUUAUUUAUAUUUUAGAUGUUGAUGAACCUUUAUUUUAUUUAUUUUUAUGUGGUGCUCAGGAUCGAGCCCAGUGCCUCACACUUGCUAGUCUGGCACUCUACCAUUGAGCCACAACCCCAGCCCCACCCCUGCCUCUCUUCUUCAGACACUAAGCUCCUGACCUCAAGUAUUUAGGGGCUCCACAAACUCUUGCACUCCCUGCUUCCUGAGCAACACAGGGAGGGCUCUAGGCCCAGCUGGGAGGGGCGACAUCCUCCUGCCUUCCUGCCACUCAUCUCUUCAUGGAUCUCCUGGGACUCCCCAUUUGGAUGGGGCCGGAGAAAUGCCCACUCGUGCGUUCCCUCUCCAGGACAGGAAUGCCAUGGUGCUCCCUGCUCCUGUACCUUCCUGUCAAAGGCCUCUUCUCAAAAGACUCACUGACUCUGUAGCCACCUCAUAUGAAAGCCACAGGGAGGAUCUCUGACCACCUCCAGGACGUCAUGAGCCCUUCAGCCUGGAACAUGAAGAUGCCAGUUGCCCACUGCCCCUCGCCCUGGGGUUCUCAGCUGAGAUUUCAAGAUCUUGAAAAAGUCCUGGCGAGGGCUGGGGUUGUGGCUCAGGGGUAGAGCACUCGCUUAGCAUGUGUGAAGCACUGGGUUUAGUUCUCAGCCCCACAUAAAAAUUAAUAAAUUUUUACAACUACAACUGAAAAAAAAAAAAAAGAAAAAAGAAAAAUCCCCGGAGGGUGUAGCUUGCCUAGCAUGUGCAAGACCCUGGGUUCGAUCCCCAGCACUGUCAAAAAAAAGAAGGACGGAAGGAAAGCAGCAUUUUCACCCUUAGCCUGAUAGCUGGUCUACCAUCCUGUAACUGAACUUGUGGAGAAACUUUUGCAUUCCUAGGCCAACCGGAGUCAGGAAAGAAAUAGGACCAGUGAGUGACCCAGAGCUCAAUAAGAAAAAAUUAGUGUAUACCUAAAGAAUUAGGAGGGUAGGACUCUUUUUGCUAUACUCAAGUGGCUUCUAGACUGUCCAGGCCCUGCACCCCUCCGCUGAGGACACACUGGUACCUAGAUGGGUCACAGAGGUUUCGGAGGGGUCAACAGUCCCUGGGAAAUGAAGGGCCAGUAAGGCUUGAAUGCUCUUUUUCUGAUUGCAGAAGGCGCAGGCCCCAGUCCCACCCACAUAGGUGAGCUGGCAGCCAUGGAAGUAGAGUCCACGAGGCUGAACCAGGAGCCCUGGGAGCCAGGAGGGCAGGAGGAAGAAGAGGACGGAGGAGGGCCUCGCCCUGCCUAUCUUAGCCAGGCCACAGAGCUCAUCACCCAGGCCCUGCGGGACGAGAAGGCAGGCGCCUACCCUGCUGCUCUCCAGGGCUACCGAGAUGGUGUGCACAUUCUGCUCCAGGGGGUGCCCAGUGAGUAGGGGCUGGAGGGUAGAGGGUCAGGCCUGGGGUCCUAGAUGGAGCAGUAAGGAGGGGAAAGUGAAAAGCAAGCAAGGACCAGGAGCCUUUCUCCUCACUGCCUGAUGACCAUGUCACUUUGAGAAGAUUAUUUUCCUUCCUCUUGGUGGCUUCAGUUUUCUUUUUAGUAGAAUGGGGAGGAGAGACAUGGUAAGUCCCAGGGAAGGGAGAAGGACACAUGAUGCUGCUCUGUGAACCGUAAGGGCUAGACCAGGGGUUCUGGGCUCAAGUACUCAGCUGAGCCAAUCUCUCCACAGGUGACCCGUCCCCUGCCCGCCGGGAAGGUGUGAAGAAGAAGGCAGCUGAGUACCUAAAGCGGGCUGAAGAGAUUCUACACCUGCACCUGUCUCAACUGCCGCCCUGAGGAGUGGGCCUUCCAUAGGACUCUAGCUCCAGCACUGCCAGCCUCCCCCUCUCCUUCCCCAGCAACCCCAGGGGCCAUUUCUGUACGUAACUGGACCAAGGAACACAAUGGCUCCCUGCCUGCCUGCCUUCUUGGAGUCAGGACUCUAUAUGUGCCAGUAUCUAUCAUGAUGUGGCAGCAGCAGGUCUCGUCAUUAAAACUUGUCAGUUUAGCCAUCUGGAACUGGGGUCUGCAGACUGCAGCCUACAGCCAGAUCUGGCUCAUCACCUACCUUUUUUUUAAGGCCCACAGGCUAGAAUGGUUGCUACAUCUUUUUAAUGGUGUGUGUGAUGGGGAAUCAAAUGAGUAAGAGUCUGUGACUAGUGAAAAUUAAAUGAGGGCUGAGGUUGUAACUCAGUGGUGGAGAGCUUACCUGGCACUUGUGAGGCACUGGGUUCGAUCCUCAGCACCACAUAAAAAUAAAGGUAUUGUGUCCAUCAACAACUAAAAGAAUUUAAAAAAUAAUAAUAAAAUGAAAGUUAAGUGUCUAUGAAUAAAAAUUGUUGGAACAUAACCAGGCUCAACCACAUCUAUGGCUGCAACCAGCAGAUUUGAGUAAGGCGACCAGCAAAUCCCAAAACAGUUUUUCUUUUUUCUCCAUCAUUCUGAGGAUUGAAACCCGGGUCUCAGGCUUUCUAAGCACACCCACUAGAUCUAUCUGUCUGUCUGUCUGUCUUUCUCUCUCUCUUUCUCUAAUGUUUUAGUUGUCAAUGGACCUUUAUUUAAUUUUUAUGCGGUGCUGAGUAUCAAACCCAGUGCCUCACACAUGGUAGGCAAGCGCUUUACUCCUGAGCCACAACCCCAAAACCCCUCUCCGCCUCUUUUCUGUUCUUUUGCGAGUGGGUCUAAGUUGCCCAGGUUGGCCUGGAACUUGUCCUCAUGCCUCAGCCUCCCUCCUCAGGACUGCAUCCUCGGACCGCUGCACCUAUCCCAAGACAUUUUCUACUUGACUCUUUGCAAAAAAAAAAAAAUAAUAAUUGCUGGGAGCCAUUAGCCAAGUAGGUAUGACAAUUUCCUUGCCAGCGUACCCCAUGUUGCUGACAUGUUGCAGUGACAUUAUAUGUAGGUGACCUUGCUCAAGGACCAAGGCAGAUUAGGGUGUUCCCGGUUUUAAGAUAAUCGUGUUUAGGGCGUUCCCAGUUUAGGUUCCAGGUUUAAGGUUUAAGAUUAUUCCUGCUGGGAAUAGGGCGUAUCCUGCUGCCUGAGUUCCCCUUGAGUUCUCACGGGAUUCAGACAGUAUAUUUUGGGAGAUAGAAGCCCAGUGGAGGGGGAUUUGGGCAGAGAACGUGGAUUUGGGAAGAGAACGUGGAUUUCCCCAGAACGUGAUUGUAGACGGCUGGUGUGAGUUCAGGAAUAAAGAGUUGCUGUUUGAAUCUACAA
rnacentral:lncRNA from 1 species